UACGUAGGCAGCGAGCGUUGUUCGGAAUUACUGGGCGUAAAGAGUGGGUAGGCGGUUUUCUAAGUUUGGUGUGAAAUCUCCCGGCUUAACUGGGAGGGUGCGCCGAAAACUGGAAGGCUUGAGUGCCGGAGAGGAUAGCGGAAUUCCUGGUGUAGCGGUGAAAUGCGUAGAUAUCAGGAGGAACACCUGUGGUGAAGGCGGCCACCUGGACGGAUACUGACGCUGAG
rnacentral:rRNA from 1 species